GAUGAAGAACGUAGCGAAAUGCGAUAAGUAGUGUGAAUUGCAGAAUUCAGUGAAUCAUCGAAUCUUUGAACGCACGUUGCGCCCCUUGGUAUUCCAUGGGGCAUGCCUGUUCGAGCGUCAUUUGUACCUUCAAGCUCUGCUUGGUGUUGGGUGUUUGUCUCGCCUCUGCGUGUAGACUCGCCUUAAAACAAUUGGCAGCCGGCGUAUUGAUUUCGGAGCGCAGUACAUCUCGCGCUUUGCACUCAUAACGACGACGUCCAAAAGUACAUUUUUACACUCUUGACCUCGGAUCAGGUAGGGAUACCCGCUGAACUUAAGCAUAUCAAUAAGCGGAGGA
rnacentral:misc_RNA from 1 species